rnacentral:rRNA from 1 species
UGGGGAAUAUUGGGCAAUGGACGCAAGUCUGACCCAGCGACGCCGCGUGCGGGAUGAAGGCCUUCGGGUUGUAAACUGCUUUUGUACGGAGCGAAAAGGCUCUCUCUAAUAAAGGGGGCUCAUGACGGUACCGUAAGAAUAAGCACCGGCUAACUCCGUGCCAGCAGCCGCGGUAAUACGGAGGGUGCAAGCGUUAUCCGGAUUCACUGGGUUUAAAGGGUGCGUAGGCGGGUAGGUAAGUCAGUGGUGAAAUCCUUGAGCUCAACUCGAGAACUGCCAUUGAUACUAUUUAUCUUGAAUAUUGUGGAGGUAAGCGGAAUAUGUCAUGUAGCGGUGAAAUGCUUAGAUAUGACAUAGAACACCUAUUGCGAAGGCAGCUUACUACGCAUAUAUUGACGCUGAGGCACGAAAGCGUGGGGAUCAAACAGG